CCUACGGGAGGCAGCAGGGAGGAAUAUUGGUCAAUGGGCGCGAGCCUGAACCAGCCAAGUAGCGUGAAGGAUGACUGCCCUACGGGUUGUAAACUUCUGUUAUAAAGGAAUAAAGUGAGGCACGUGGGCCUUUUUGUAUGUACGUUAUGAAUAAGGAUCGGCUAACUCCGUGCCAGCAUCCGCGGUAAUACGGAGGAGCCGAGCGUUAUCCGGAUUUAUUGGGUUUAAAGGGAGCGUAGAUGGGUUGUUAAGUCAGUUGUGCAAGUUUGCGGCUCAACCGUAAAAUUGCAAUUGAUACUGGCAGUCUUGAGUACAGUUGCGGUCGGCGGACUUCGUGGUGUAGCGGUGACAUGCUUAGAUCUCAC
rnacentral:rRNA from 1 species